rnacentral:rRNA from 1 species
GAUGAACGCUGGCGGCGUGCCUAAUACAUGCAAGUCGAACGCUUCACUUCGGUGAAGAGUGGCGAACGGGUGAGUAAUACAUAAGUAACCUGGCAUCUACAGGGGGAUAACUGAUGGAAACGUCAGCUAAGACCGCAUAGGUGUAGAGAUCGCAUGAACUCUAUAUGAAAAGUGCUACGGGACUGGUAGAUGAUGGACUUAUGGCGCAUUAGCUGGUUGGUAGGGUAACGGCCUACCAAGGCGACGAUGCGUAGCCGACCUGAGAGGGUGACCGGCCACACUGGGACUGAGACACGGCCCAGACUCCUACGGGAGGCAGCAGUAGGGAAUUUUCGGCAAUGGGGGAAACCCUGACCGAGCAACGCCGCGUGAAGGAAGAAGUAAUUCGUUAUGUAAACUUCUGUCAUAGAGGAAGAACGGUGGAUAUAGGGAAUGAUAUCCAAGUGACGGUACUCUAUA